GACGAACGCUGGCGGCGUGCUUAACACAUGCAAGUCGAACGGAAAGGCCCUGCUUUUGUGGGGUGCUCGAGUGGCGAACGGGUGAGUAACACGUGAGUAACCUGCCCUUGACUUUGGGAUAACUUCAGGAAACUGGGGCUAAUACCGGAUAGGAGCUCCUGCUGCAUGGUGGGGGUUGGAAAGUUUCGGCGGUUGGGGAUGGACUCGCGGCUUAUCAGCUUGUUGGUGGGGUAGUGGCUUACCAAGGCUUUGACGGGUAGCCGGCCUGAGAGGGUGACCGGGCAGAUUGGGACUGAGAUGCGGCCCAGACGCCUACGGGGGGCAGCAGUGGGGAAUAUUGCACAAUGGGCGGAAGCCUGAUGCAGCAACGCCGCGUGCGGGAUGACGGCCUUCGGGUUGUAAACCGCUUUCGCCUGUGACGAAGCGUGAGUGACGGUAAUGGGUAAAGAAGCACCGGCUAACUACGUG
rnacentral:rRNA from 1 species